rnacentral:lncRNA from 12 species
GUUAAUGUUGCAAUGCACAGUGUGUUCAUUCUCUGACAGAAUACUUAAGCAAUAUACAAUAGAGCUUUAAAUCAUAAGGUAAUAAUCAUGUUGUCCUGGCAUGAACAAUAAGAACACAUAAGUUGUUCAUUUUUGAAAUAACAUUAAGCAAAACAUAAUUGUAUUAGAUACUGCUUUAGGUGAGGUGCCUGGGUAGCUCAGUCAGUUGGGCAUCCAACUCUUGAUUUUAGCUGGGGUCAUAAUCUCAAGGUCAUGAAAUCAAUCAAGCCCCACAUGGAGCCUUAGAGCCAUUUGUUGGGCUCCGCACUGGGUGUGGACCCUGCUUGUGAUUCUCUCUCUCCCUCCACCUUCCCACCACCCCCCUGACCCCACCUGGCUCUUGUGCUUUCUAUAUCUCUAAAAAAAAUAAAAAGACAGAAAGAAAAGGUACUACUUUGGUACAAACCUAACUAUAUUUUGUUUUAAUGAUAUAAUUGAAGCAGGCAUAUUUUUAUAGGGAAUGAUAAAACUGUAAAAAAGGAAUCCCAUCUCCACUUAUAAAUUCAGAUAUAAAUUUGGAAAACAGUCUACCCGAAUGUUUUAUCACAAAGGACUCAACAUAUAUUUUAGAUUAGCUAUUGAAAGAAAUCUUCAAAAAGAGAAUAGUAGUUCUGACAAUCAAAUGUAUUUGGAUGACAUUUGGGCUAUCUUCAAAAUCACUUUAUAUGUACAUUAUUUCAUCAUGUCAUAAUACCAGAACAUUUUGAUGACUCAAACAACAGUAAAAUAAAGAAGCCUGUGAAUUAAAGGAUUUGCCAAUAUGUUUUUAUAUUUUCCAAAAUGGCCAGUAUAGUGGAUGAUUCUAUUGACCAGACUUCAUUAUGUAGCUGAAAGACUAGGAUGAAGAAUGGCAAUUUCUAAUGUUAUGGUAAUAUGUCAGAGGUACCUCUCAGGGUCCUUCCUGACCUUCAGUACUCUGCCUUCCUACAGAAUGAAGGUCACUCAUCAAAACUCCAUCAUCUGCAUACCACAAUCUUGCAGCAACAGCUAUUUUGGGGGAGCUUUAUCAAUCACAAACUCUUAGUGAACAUCCCUAUCUACUAAUUGUGUGCUGGAUUAUAAACAUAUGGAGAAGAAUGACAUACUCCCUGCAACCUUCCUGAGGUAAAUGAUCUGUUUAGCAUUUUGUGUAGAUUUUGUUUAGCAUCUUGUUUCCUGCCAGUGUGUUUUCAAUUAUUUUAUUUUGUUAAAUAUUAUAAAAAGUCUUAUGUAAAUUGCAUAAACAAAAUUGCAAUAUCUGAAUUUUUCAGUAACAUGACUCUUCAGUUUGUUCAUUCUGUUGAUGAACUUUCAUUGAUGUUUAUUUCCCGGUAUUUGCCAUACUGACUGUAAGUUUAUUUGCCCAGGUUUUAUGGGGGGAAAAAAAUCCCAGUGUUCAAGGGUACUCUCUCCAAAGAGGACAUCCUUUCCCUUCUGCUACGUACGCUCGGCCUGGGACUCUACCUGUCUAGCACAAAUUAGUUUCAUGGUUUCACACAGACAAUAUAAUUUUGACCCUCAAACCUACAUUUGGGAAGGCCUCAUUUAAAAUUCUUAGAUUUUUUUUUUUUUUUGACCUAGAUUUUAGGCCAAGACAGAUGACUCUUUUUUGUGGCCUUUCUUUGUUGAUAAGUGGAUAUUUCCGGUCCACAUUUUCAGUUG